rnacentral:rRNA from 1 species
UACGGGGGGGAGCAAGCGUUUGUUCGGAUUUGCUGGGCGUAAAGGGCGCGUAGGCGGUCAGCACAAGUCAGUUGUGAAAUCUCCGGGCUUAACCCGGAAAGGUCAACUGAUACUGUGCGACUAGAGUGCGGAAGGGGCAACUGGAAUUCUCGGUGUAGCGGUGAAAUGCGUAGAUAUCGAGAGGAACACCUGCGGCGAAGGCGGGUUGCUGGGCCGACACUGACGCUGAGACGCGAAAGGCGUGGGGGAGCGAACGGGG